GCCCAACAGCUAGCCCACCCAAACAAUUUCAACUAACCCCUGUUAAUAACCCCUAAAUACCCCAGUAUUAAAAUUAAACAAACCAUUUUUCCCCCUUAGUAUAGGCGAUAGAAAAGGGAAUCUGGCGCAAUAGAGAAAGUACCGCAAGGGAAUGCUGAAAGAGAAAUGAAAUAACCCAGCAAAGCCUUAAAAAGCAGAGAUUUAACCUCGUACCUUUUGCAUCAUGAUUUAGCAAGUGUACCCCAAGCAAAGAGCACUUUAGUUUGACGUCCCGAAACUACGUGAGCUACUCCAAGAUAGCCUAUUAAUAGGGCACACCCGUCUCUGUGGCAAAAGAGUGGGACAAACUUUGAGUAGAGGUGACAAACCUACCGAACCUAGUUAUAGCUGGUUGUCCAAGAAAUGAAUAGAAGUUCAGCCUCUUGACUCCUCUUUUCACCCUAGUUUAACCCCUAUUGAUGCACCUGAGGAACCAAAAGAGUUAGUCAAAGGGGGUACAGCCCCUUUGAAUUAAGACACAACUUUACCAGGAGGGU
rnacentral:rRNA from 1 species